CCCUUAGAUAUUCUGGGCCGCACGCGCGCUACACUGAUGCAUUCAACGAGUUUCUUCCUGGUCCGAGAGGAAUGGGUAACCUUUUGAAAGUGCAUCGUGAUAGGGAUAGACUAUUGCAAUUAUUGGUCUUCAACGAGGAAUUCCUAGUAGACGUAGUUCAUCAGACUGCAUCGAUUACGUCCCUGCCCUUUGUACACACCGCCCGUCGCUCCUACCGAUUGAAUGCUCAGGUGAGCCAUUCGGACUUUCAUCAUGCUGGUUUCCAGUUUUGAUGAAGGAAAGUCUUGCGAACCUUAUCAUUUAGAGGAAGGAGAAGUCGUAACA
rnacentral:rRNA from 1 species